rnacentral:rRNA from 1 species
AGUCGCUGCGGCACGCUAACACAUGCAGUCGAACGAAGUACAGUACUUGCUGGCAGACGGGUGAGUAACAUGUAAGUAUCUACCCUUUGGCCGUGUAAUAACACGAGGAAACGUUGUGCUAAUACCGGGAUAAGUCUUUACGGAGAAAGCUUUAUGCACCAGUUGGAUGAGCCUGCACUUGAUUAGUUUGUUGGUGGGGUAAUGGCCUACCAGAGACUGUGAUCGAUAGCUGUUUUGAGAGGAUGAUCGAGCCACAUUGUGACUGAGACACGGCCCAAACUACUACGGGAGGCAGCAGUGGGGAAUCUUGCACAAUGGAGGAAACUCUGAUGCAGCGAUGCCGCGUGAGUGAAGAAGGCCCUUGGGUUGUAAAGCUCUUUCGUCGGGGAAGAAAAUGACUGUACCCGAAUAAGAAGGUCCGGCUAACUUCGUGCCAGCAGCCGCGGUAAUACGAAGGGACCUAGCGUAGUUCGGAAUUACUGGGCUUAAAGAGUUCGUAGGUGGUUGACACAGUUAGUGGUGAAAUCCCCAGAGCUUAACUCUGGGAACUUGCUUUAAAACUUUUCAGCUAGAGUUUGAUAGAGGGAAGCCAGAAUUUCUGGUGUAGAGGGUCAAAUCGGUCCAUUUUAGAACGAAUUCCCAAUUGCGAGAGGGGGCUUCUGGAAUCAUAGCGUCACUGUGGGAACCGAACCCGUGGUGGGAAGAGGGAUAAUCC